GGAAUUGACUCUAGUAUCCAAAGAUGGAAUACUAGAGGAUAACCUUGCAACUCGAAUUUUGAAGUAUCCUCCAGGUGGUUUGCGACAACUUUUUGAAUUGACUUCAUGAGCACCAGGUAAGCAUCUCUUCCCCAUGGAUACAUCAUAUCCUUUGCUUUGUUGACAUACUCCAAAGGGAAAGUCCCUUUCUUGUUCUUCUGCAGCAAUAUGCUCUCUACCAUAAGGAGCAUUGCGAGGCAAACUCUCUCAUCAGAAGCAUCUACUCUUGUCUUUUUGAGCUGGUUCAACACGUCGCUUAACUUAUGAGUACGUCCCUUUAGCAAGUCUUACUCAAAAUCCCCUCGUGGUCUUUCUACUUCACCAUUACAUUUCAAACCGGUCUUCAUAUGAAAUUCUCUAUAGAGAAUUUCAUUGGUUGACCAGCGAAAUGGAACUAG
rnacentral:lncRNA from 1 species